ACAUAUUACAACUACACCAUAAAGGCAUACCAUUUCUUAAAGAACACAUCCCAGGGUAUUUCAAAAGGCAUAUUUUGAACCUUAACGUGGGAUAAUUUUUCCGCUAGCUUGUACCAAGUGUAAUGGUAAUAAGCGUUUUUUUUGCCUUUUUGACACACAAAGUAAAUUUGCGCAGUACAUUUUGCAAAUCUUAUGUGUGCUACGACUGUAU